AAAAAAGCAGGAUGCUGUUUUUUAUACCAGCAGUGUCCCCGUAAACUUUAGGCACACGAUGUUCAUCAUUAUUGGGUGAAUCGUUGGAUAACGUCCAUUUGUUGGACUGUCUAUGUCCAUUGGUUCAGUAAAUGAUGGCACAUUU